CACUCAGGUGGCCUAGUGGUUAGAGCAUCUACCUUGGAUGUAGGAGGUCGUGGGUUAGAUCCCCAGUUGAGUCA